rnacentral:rRNA from 1 species
GAGGAAUAAGCAUCGGCUAACUCCGUGCCAGCAGCCGCGGUAAUACGGGGGAUGCAAGCGUUAUCCGGAAUCAUUGGGCGUAAAGCGCCUGUAGGUUGUUUAAUAAGUCUGUUGUUAAAGACUAGGGCUCAACCCUAGGAAAGCAAUGGAAACUACUAGACUUGAGUAUGAUAGGGGUAGAGGGAAUUUCUAGUGUAGCGGUGAAAUGCGUAGAUAUUAGGAAGAACACCGGUGGCGAAGGCGCUCUACUGGAUCAUUACUGACACUCAGAGGCGAAAGCUAGGGUAGCAAAAGGGAUUAGAUACCCCUGUAGUCCUAGCCGUAAACGAUGGAUACUAGAUGUUGCGUUUAUUAUGCAGUAUCGUAGCUAACGCGUUAAGUAUCCCGCCUGGGGGGUACGCUCGCAAGGGUGAAACUCAAAGGAAUUGACGGGGGCCCGCACAAGCGGUGGAGCAUGUGGUUUAAUUCGAUGCAACGCGAAGAACCUUACCAAGGCUUGACAUACUACAAAUUUCUUUGAAAGAGGAAAGUGCCUUCGGGAAUGUAGAUACAGGUGGUGCAUGGCUGUCGUCAGCUCGUGUCGUGAGAUGUUGGGUUAAGUCCCGCAACGAGCGCAACCCUUAUUUUUAGUUGCUAAUUUAUUAGGUUUUCUAGAAAGACUGCCGGUGACAAACCGGAGGAAGGUGAGGAUGACGUCAAGUCAGCAUGCCCCUUAUGCCUUGGGCUACACACGUGCUACAAUGGUUAAGACAAAGAGUUGCGAGCUCGCGAGAGUCAGCUAAUCUCAUAAACUUAGCCUAAGUUCGGAUUGUAGGCUGCAACUCGCCUACGUGAAG